GUCAACAUUUAUAUAAUAUGUAAAAACAUAGAUAAUUCAAACAUACUUCAUUUAACUAAAAUUGUUCUAAAACAAAAUAACAUUAGUGUCUACAUUGAUUAGUUCUAUAAGUUAUAUUUCUUACACAAGUUCAACCAAAAGUUAAAAGUCUAACAUAGAUUAGUGUCUCUAUGAAUUAAAAUAUUCUUGAGUCCUUUAGAAACAAGAUAUAACACCAAUUAUAAUUUUUUCCAUUAACUUUUAUCCAAAAUUUUUAGAAAAAUUUUGACAAAACCUCCCCUAAAACUUGGAUAUUUUCACCGCCUACGGUUCCAUCAUAAACAACUAAUUCAUUACUUAUUUCUUAGCAAUUACACAACCAAAUUUAUCAAACCAAAUAAUAGGACAUUUGUCAUUUCUCAACCGUGACACAAGUAAAAUGUAAUAAAUAUAUCUAUAUACAAUUAAAACCAUAAACAAUUUUAGAGGUACCUUUAAUUGUCUAGUUUCUUUCAUUGUCAAAACGCGCUAUGAAAGUGAUAAGAAAUAAGAAGGACGAAGAAUGAAAAACACAACGGAAAAUAAAAAGAUAGUUUCCUACUAGACCUCUAAUGAACCUGUAUU